rnacentral:lncRNA from 1 species
AGUCUCAUGCUAAGAUUCACCUGCAUCGUAAUGGUGUGUUAAUGUUACGCGCGGUGCUGGCACUUUUUGACCGUGAAGGCAUGUUGAAAAGUUUGUCAGAUAAAUUUUUUUUAUUACAUGGGCUAAGCCUGGUUCACGAAAAAAGAAUAAAACAAAAAUAUUUAGAUUGUCCAAAAGAGAAAAAGAAUUACAGUUAUUUUUUAUAUGAAAAGAGUCCGGCUUAAGUAAUAAAAAAAAAGACUUUUAAGAAUAAUUUAAAAAAAGACCAAAAUACUAUUAUAUGAGUAAUUUCUAUUGUUUGAUUGUAUUAUAAUUUAAAAAUUUGAAUUUUAUUUUUUGAUAGUAAAAUAUCAUUAGUUUAUUUUAGGAUACUAAUAUACUCUUUAAUUUUGACAAAAAAAACCUUUCGUAAUGAAUUUCAAGAACAGCGGAAAACUAAGGUCGAUUAAUUGCAAGGUUUUAGAAAUUGAAUCAGUCAUCCAAUCAUUCUAAUUAUUGGUUCAUUAGUUCAUUAGUCCAAUGAAUCCAACCGUAGUCCAAUCGAAAAACUGUUUUAUAAUAAAAAAUAAAUAAAUAAACACCUUAAAACAUAAUUAGUUCUUUAUGCACUAACUUUCUUCUUUUUUCUUUUAGUUCCUUAUUUCUUUUUUUAAUCCAAACAAAGAUUCAACAACAAAAAUUCAACAAUAAUAAAAAUUCUAUUAUUCAUUUUAUUAAGCUCAAAACAAGAUCUAGCUUAACAAAAUUCAAUAAAUAAAUUCAGUUUAAUGUAGCAGAGAAGACUCAAUCAUAUAAAUAAAAGCUCAUGCUUUUAUAUUGAACAAAUAAAAGCUCAUGGUUUAGCAUAAUUUUAACAAAAAUUAGCGAUAUUUUAAUUUUUAACCGACAGCAGACUGAUCACACUUAAGAAACUACACUAGCAAUGCCACAUCACAUCACACCACACACACACAAUUUAUAUAUGAUUCCAACCAAAUUUGGAAAACCAGAUCUCUUAGCAGCAAUAGAUAGAGGUCCUUGUAAAAUAGCACCAUUAGUAGUGAUAUUAUGUUUUCAAAGACAUAAUACCAUAAGCAUGAAGCAAAUUCUUAUGGAAAUAAUCAAAUUUUAAAAGGUUGAAUAAUAGACUAGAAUCAACUUUGCCAAGAUAUGCAGGAUCUCACUUGGAACAUAUCUCUGUCCCAUUACAUUGACAAGCUGCGAGAGUCUCAUUCUAAUCCCUUCACAAUCACAUAUCUCAAAAGAAUUUUUGUUCAGCAUCCACAAGAAAAACCAGAUAUUGAUACACGUCCUUUUUCCAUUCAGAGUGCACAUAGGAAAGAUGAAUUACUUUCACUUUAAAUCGGUUAAAAUUAAAUUCACCAAAUACUGACUGCCGAAUGCUUUUUCUAUCAAGGCAUAGUUCAAGUGUCCGUAGAAGGUAUUCCCUAGAAGGCAUUAGAUUCUACAGCCUUCAUAAUAGUAUCUGGAACUGUUGAAUUCCAAACCCAGCAGAUAGCAUGUUUUCAACUUCAGGACAUAAAUCCAAUUACAUAGCCAAAGCUAAAGAACAAAUAUGGAAGUAAAAUUUAACAAAAUUUUAUACUUUGGCAGGAGUCCGAUUUGAAUAAACAAACCAUUUUCUCAUUUGAUGAAUUUAUAUUUUUUCAUAUGAUUCGGAGAGGAACGAAGUUAAUCAUUCAAGAAGUUAAUCAUUCAACAAUUCAAUCUGAGUAGCGCUAGCAGUAGCAAAAUCCUAAACCGAAGAACAAAGAAUCAAUAAUGAAAAAUUCAAANNNNNNNNNNNNNNNNNNNNNNNNNNNNNNNNNNNNNNNNNNNNNNNNNNNNNNNNNNNAUCAAAAAAAAAAAAUUAAAAAAAAAAAAAAAAAAAGCAAUCUAAGUAGCACUAGCAAAAUCCUAAACCUUUGUUCUCGCAUCUGAACAGACCAUUACAAAUACGAAGAACAAGCCCUAACAGUGAGCACUGACCUUCGAUCUGAGCAGCAGACAAUGACGGCGAUCAGUUGAGCGCGACGGCAACCAGACGACUGCAAGCAGACGAAGACCAGACGACGACCACUGUUAUCCUUCUUCUUCACUUCACCACUGACGACUCACGAGAGCACUCUGCCAGUUCGAACGAGAAGCAAGGGGGCAGAACUUCAAUCCGCAAAGAAAAAGGGAUUCAAUGGCUUUAUUGACGGAAGAUGCCGACCAGACGACGGCGAGAAGAUGAUGAGUUGACGACGACACCGAGAAAUUGAAUACGAGGGUUGGACCGAGCUCGCGGAAGAAGAGAGAAAUGGUUAUACGGACN